UACAGAGGGUGCAAACGUUGUUCGGAAUUACUGGGCGUAAAGCGCACGUAGGCGGAUUGCUAAGUCAGGGGUGAAAUCCUGGAGCUCAACUCCAGAACUGCCUUUGAUACUGGGGAUCUCGAGUCCGGAAGAGGUGAGUGGAACUCCGAGUGUAGAGGUGAAAUUCGUAGAUAUUCGGAAGAACACCAGUGGCGAAGGCGGCUCACUGGUCCGGUACUGACGCUGAGGUGCGAAAGCGUGGGGAGCAAACAGG
rnacentral:rRNA from 1 species